UAUGGAAUUCUUCUGGUUUGCAGUACUGUGUGUGUUUGUAAAAGAAAUAUGCAUGUUUUUAAAAGUUCCAUCACACAAGAGAGAACUUGUUCCUUCUGCUGAUUUGAAUGGAAUUGAACUUUAAAAGAACAGGUCUAUACAUACAUAACUUAGAAACCUUAAAACACUGCAUGAAAGGAAAAGUCCUGAUUAUCCCACCAAAUGUUUGCUGAAGAGGUUCAACGGGGGACUGAAUGAUAAUGACAGAAAACAUUUGAACUCUGCUAAAUACCUCUCGAGCUGUCCUGCAUUUAUUGAAGAGCCUGUGGAAGAACAGCUUAAGACCACUCAGUGAUUGGUUGUUCCUAUCCAUUCAGCGGCCUGAGCAGAGGGAGCUGCAAACCAGACCUCAGUGGUUGGCUAAGUGCUCCAGUCCACAGUAGGGAACUACUGAAUAGGGACAGAGGACACUUGCACAACUCAGGACCAGUCUCCUCCCUCACGUUGAGUAGCAGUGAGCUCAGCAGCUAGAGCAGUCCACCCACCUUCAAAUUCCUCCUUGUUACAGCCUUUUCAGCAGCGGCCCCUCUUCCUUUCCAAUCUUCUGGAAGCAGGAUCUCCACGGAAGGAGAGAUGAGGUAUGGCCUCCUGCAGGAGUUCACAGGGUGGUGGCGCCAUGCAUGCUCAGACCUUCCCUAGGCCUGUAUUUACCACCUCAGACCCGCUGAGUGAGCUCCCUUAUUGUGGCACGGGAUGGCAAUGCCCACAGAGCACAGAGGAGAGUCUGUGCUACCCAUAAUGAUGGUGGGCAAGUUAACGUAAGACAUCUCCGUGAGAGGCUGGUGGUCGGCCCUGGGAUCGGUAAGCACCAGAAGACGCAACUCCAGGAGGGCUGCGCAGAUACGGUGCACGAAGCUUCCGGGGAGCAAAGGAGCCAACAACAGGAGUGGCUCCAGCAGCAGCAGCAAACGUCAGCCCAGCUCCGUGGCCCGUGUUCCUGGAGGAUAUGAUACUGACACCAGCUGGGUUUUCAGUAGCGACAAUGGCAUGAGCUGCCGGCAGAAGCUUCUCCCAAGUCUCUUCAGAUUAAUAAGUUUUUACGCUGGCGGUGUCUAAUUUUUUUAUAAUUAUAGAAGCAUUUGAAGCCAGUUGCACAAAUAUCAGACUGAAGAUGCCUGGCUUGAAAGUGGUUACUGCUGAUGCCUAAGGACAGUCUCAGUUUGUGGAGAAUCCUGUGCUUUCCAACCUUGACCUCACUUCAUUCUUACAAUAAACUUUGAUUCAUGUCCGCCUUGCAACAAAUGUAUGAAGUAGGUAUCAUCUUCCUCAUUUUAAAAUUCACGCUUAAAGGCCGCAUUAUUAGUGUAUGGUAGAAAUCAGGCUCUGCAAAGUGAAACAUGAACCCAGAGUGAAAAUAACAAUCACUUCAUAAGUUACGAUAAGAGAUAAGAUGUGUAAAGUACUUGCCUGCUGAGGCAGGGUAAGAAAGCUCUUAUAAUGAGCUCUCCCCAUGGAUAUAGUACACAAUCACACGCACAAAGAUAGUGGUA